AUUCCACUAAAAGUGAAAAUCUUCAUGUGGUAUCUUCGUAAGGGAGUUGUGUUAACCAAAGACAACUUCGCACGACGCAACUGGCCAGAGAGUAAGAAGUGUUGUUUUUGUACUCAUGACGAGACAAUCAAACACCUCUUUUUCCAAUGCGAGUUUGCACGUUCUACGUGA
rnacentral:rRNA from 1 species